rnacentral:rRNA from 1 species
CCAAAGGGCAUUGCCCUAGUACGGCGAGUGAAGCGGCAACAGCUCAAAUUUGAAAGCUAGCCUUCGGGUUCGCAUUGUAAUUUGUAGAGGAUGCUUUGGGUAAAACGCCAGUCUAAGUUCCUUGGAACAGGACGUCAUAGAGGGUGAGAAUCCCGUAUGUGACUGGAAAUGUUAACCUAUGUAAAGCUCCUUCGACGAGUCGAGUUGUUUGGGAAUGCAGCUCUAAAUGGGAGGUAAAUUUCUUCUAAAGCUAAAUAUUGGCGAGAGACCGAUAGCGCACAAGUAGAGUGAUCGAAAGAUGAAAAGCACUUUGGAAAGAGAGUUAAAAAGCACGUGAAAUUGUUGAAAGGGAAGCGCUUGCAAUCAGACUUGUUUAAACUGUUCGGCCGGUCUUCUGACCGGUUUACUCAGUUUGGACAGGCCAGCAUCAGUUUCGGCGGCCGGAUAAAGGCUCUGGGAAUGUGGCCUCCACUUCGGUGGAGGUGUUAUAGCCCAGUGUGUAAUACGGCCAGCCGGGACUGAGGUCCGCGCUUCGGCUAGGAUGCUGGCGUAAUGGUUGUAAGCGACCCGUCUUGAAACACGGACCCA